UGCCUCUUGACACACCUAUAAAAGGUAUAUUCUGCCCAGUGAACUAUUCAACGGCCGCGGUACCCUGACCGUGCAAAGGUAGCAUAAUCACUUGCCUCUUAAUUGGAGGCUGGAAUGAACGAACCAACGUGAGCUUAGCUGUCUCUAUCGUGCCCAUGGAAAUUAACCUUUAGGUGAAAAGGCCUAAAUAAAACUAAAAGACAAGAAGACCCUAUCGAGCUUCAUUGCUAAUCUAUUAUAAUACCUAACCCUCUUAAGCCCCCAUAGUAGACAAACCAUUUUGUUGGGGCAACAAAGAACAUCCAAAGCUUCCUUACUAAAAUAAAUAUACUCAAACCACGACCCAGAUAACUGACCAAAGGACAAAGCUACCGUAGGGAUAACAGGUUAAUUUUUCUCGAGAGCCCACAUUAACAGAAAAGUUUGACACCUCGAUGUUGGCUUAGGCUGCCCCAUUAAUGCAGAAGUUAAUAACGGUGGGUUUGUUCAACCCUUAAUAGCCUACA
rnacentral:rRNA from 1 species